UGGGGAAUCUUGGACAAUGGGCGAAAGCCUGAUCCAGCAAUGCCGCGUGUGUGAAGAAGGCCUUCGGGUUGUAAAGCACUUUUGUCCGGAAAGAAAUCCUUGGCUCUAAUACAGUCGGGGGAUGACGGUACCGGAAGAAUAAGCACCGGCUAACUACGUGCCAGCAGCCGCGGUAAUACGUAGGGUGCAAGCGUUAAUCGGAAUUACUGGGCGUAAAGCGUGCGCAGGCGGUUUGCUAAGACCGAUGUGAAAUCCCCGGGCUCAACCUGGGGAACUGCAUUGGUGACUGGCAGGCUAGAGUAUGGCAGAGGGGGGUAGAAUUCCACGUGUAGCAGUGAAAUGCGUAGAGAUGUGGAGGAAUACCGAUGGCGAAGGCAGCCCCCUGGGCCAAAUACUGACGCUCAUGCACGAAAGCGUGGGGAGCAAACAGGAUUAGAUACCCUGGUAGUCCACGCCCUAAACGAUGUCAACUAGUUGUUGGGGAUUCAUUUCCUUAGUAACGUAGCUAACGCGUGAAGUUGACCGCCUGGGGAGUACGGUCGCAAGAUUAAAACUCAAAUGAAUUGACGGGGUCAUAGCUGUUUCCU
rnacentral:rRNA from 1 species